CGUGGCCUAGUGGUCAAAACACCAGGCUAGUAUCCUGGGAUAGCAGGCUCGAGCCCGGU
rnacentral:tRNA from 11 species